GAUGAACGCUGGCGGCGUGCCUAAUACAUGCAAGUCGAGCGAACGGACGAGAAGCUUGCUUUUCUGAUGUUAGCGGCGGACGGGUGAGUAACACGUGGAUAACCUACCUAUAAGACUGGGAUAACUUCGGGAAACCGGAGCUAAUACCGGAUAAUAUUUUGAACCGCAUGGUUCAAAAGUGAAAGACGGUCUUGCUGUCACUCAUAGAUGGAUCCGCGCUGCAUUAGCUAGUUGGUAAGGUAACGGCUUACCAAGGCAACGAUGCAUAGCCGACCUGAGAGGGUGAUCGGCCACACUGGAACUGAGACACGGUCCAGACUCCUACGGGAGGCAGCAGUAGGGAAUCUUCCGCAAUGGGCGAAAGCCUGACGGAGCAACGCCGCGUGAGUGAUGAAGGUCUUCGGAUCGUAAAACUCUGUUAUUAGGGAAGAACAUAUGUGUAAGUAACUGUGCACAUCUUGACGGUACCUAAUCAGAAAGCCACGGCUAACUACGUG
rnacentral:rRNA from 1 species